rnacentral:lncRNA from 1 species
AAAAGGUGCAAAUUAAAAAUGAAGGUCGACCUCUGCCUGAGAUCAGUUUCAUGAAGACGGAUGAAAAGGUGAGGGCGUUCAAUACUAACUUGAAUCAAAAGUAUAAGUUAGCUGGUUAACAGGGAGCCUUUCAUCAGGCCGCCUGUAUUGCUGGCCUUACCUGCUUUUUGGAAGGUCUAAGCCUUUGUCGAAAGGUGGGUGCAGUGACCUGAAGAACAUCAAUCGUUCAGCUAAACGAAAAAACAAAAGCAGGACACAACGAGAGGGACAUUCUGUUAACAAGGGCAACUACAAGGAGCUUGCUGAGCUAAGUCCCCUCCUGUUCCCUGAUUAAGAGUCAAACCCUGUCCUGCACUGGUCAAGCCUCUGAACACCUCAACUCAUGCCUCAUACUCUCAUUCAAUCACUGCUGUGAUCCCUUUCCAACACGGUCAUCAAGUCUUUUUGGGUAUGCCGCUACAAGCUUGGCACACCUGUAUUUGAGGAGUUUCUCCCAUUCUUCUCUGCAAAUCCUCUCAAGCUCUGUCAAGUUGGAUGGGGAGCAUUGCUGGACAGCUAUUUUCAGGUCUCACCAGAGAUUUUCGAUCGGGUUCAAGUCCUGGCUCUGGCUGGGCCACAAGGACAUUCAGAGACUUGUCCUGAAGUCACUCCACGUUGUCUUGGCUGUUUGCUUAGGAUCGUUGUCCUGUUGGAAGGUGAACCUUUGCCCCAGUCGGAGGUCCUGAGUGCUCUGGAGCAGGUUUUCAUCAAGGUGCUCUCUGUACUUUGCUCCGUUCAUCUUUGCCUAGAUCCUGACUAGUCUCCCAGUCCCUGCCGCUGAAAAACAUCCCCA